rnacentral:rRNA from 1 species
UACGUAGGGUGCGAGCGUUUGUCCGGAAUUACUGGGCGUAAAGAGCUCGUAGGUGGUUUGUCGCGUUGUCCGUGAAAACUCACAGCUUAACUGUGGGCGUGCGGGCGAUACGGGCAGACUGGAGUACUGCAGGGGAGACUGGGAAUUCCUGGUGUAGCGGUGGAAUGCGCAGAUAUCAGGAGGAACACCGGGUGGCGAAGGCGGGGUCUCUGGGGCAGUAACUGACGCUGAGGAGCGAAAAGCGUGGGGGAGCGAACAGG